rnacentral:rRNA from 1 species
GCUUACGGCCAUACCACCCUGAACAUGCCCGAUCUCGUCCGAUCUCGGAAGCUAAGCAGGUCGGGCCUGGUUAGUACUUGGAUGGGAGACCGCUGGGAAUACCAGGUGCUGUAAGCU